rnacentral:rRNA from 1 species
GUGAAGGGCGGCAGCUACACAUGCAAGUCGGACGGUAGCACAGAGGAGCUUGCUCCUCGGGUGACGAGUGGCGGACGGGUGAGUAAUGUCUGGGAAACUGCCCGAUGGAGGGGGAUAACUACUGGAAACGGUAGCUAAUACCGCAUAACGUCGCAAGACCAAAGUGGGGGACCUUCGGGCCUCACACCAUCGGAUGUGCCCAGAUGGGAUUAGCUUGUAGGCGGGGUAACGGCCCACCUAGGCGACGAUCCCUAGCUGGUCUGAGAGGAUGACCAGCCACACUGGAACUGAGACACGGUCCAGACUCCUACGGGAGGCAGCAGUGGGGAAUAUUGCACAAUGGGCGCAAGCCUGAUGCAGCCAUGCCGCGUGUAUGAAGAAGGCCUUCGGGUUGUAAAGUACUUUCAGCGGGGAGGAAGGUGCUGCGGUUCAGUAAAGUUAUU